GCUGGGCUCGUCCCCCCCCUCACGCGUGUGUACCCGCACACCCCCGCACAUGCGGCGGGGCCCGCACUGCGCAGGCGCCCCGGUACGGCGGGCGCGGAGCGGAGCGGAGCGGAGGGCGGGGGCCGGGCCCGUGACUCAGUUAAAAUGAAGAAUUUAUAUAUUUUUAUCGCUGUCCUGUUCAUCCCAUGGAGCUUUUCUUUGGCAAAGUAUGAUGAAUUUGAGGAUGGAGAUGACAUUAUGGAAUAUGAUGAUAAUGACUUUGCUGAGUUUGAAGAUGUGAGUGAAGAUACAGUCACAGAAUCUCCUCAGAGGAUCAUCACUACAGAAGAUGAUGAAGAAGAAGCCACUGUAGAGCUUGAAGGUCAGGAUGAAAAUCAGGAAGACUUUGAUGAUGCAGACACACAGGAAGGUGACACCGAAAGUGAGCCAUACGAUGAUGAGGAGUUUGAAGGGUAUGAAGAGAAACCAGAUGCAUCUCAUAGCAAAAAUAAAGACCCCAUAACAAUAGUUAAUGUCCCUGCUCACCUUCAAAACAGCUGGGAGAGUUAUUACAUGGAGAUCCUGAUGGUAACAGGUCUCCUGGCUUACAUCAUGAACUACAUCAUUGGGAAGAACAAAAACAACCGCCUGGCUCAUGCUUGGUUCAACACUCACAGGGAGCUGCUAGAAAGUAACUUUGCUCUUGUUGGGGAUGAUGGCACUAAUAAAGAAGCUACAAGCACUGGGAAACUAAAUCAAGAAAAUGAACACAUAUAUAACUUGUGGUGCUCUGGAAGGGUGUGCUGUGAAGGAAUGCUCAUCCAGUUAAAGUUUCUCAAGAGACAGGACCUGCUGAAUGUCCUGGCACGCAUGAUGAGGCCGGCGUCAGACCAAGUGCAAAUAAAAGUGACAAUGAAUGAUGAAGAUAUGGACACGUAUGUGUUUGCUGUUGGAACCAGAAAAGCACUGGUGAGACUUCAGAAAGAGAUGCAGGACCUGAGUGAGUUCUGCAGUGAUAAACCUAAGUCUGGUGCAAAAUAUGGGCUUCCAGAUUCACUGGCUAUCUUGUCAGAGAUGGGAGAGGUCACAGAGGGAAUGAUGGAUGCUAAGAUGAUCCAUUUCCUCACACACUACGCUGACAAGAUUGACUCUGUCCAAUUCUCGGACCAGUUCUCCGGUCCAAAACUUAUGCAAGAGGAGGGCCAGCUUACAAAACUGCCCGAAACUAAAAAGACACUUUUGUUUACAUUUAACGUGCCUGGUUCAGGCAACACUUCCCCAAAGGACAUGGAGUCUUUGCUGCCUCUGAUGAGCAUGGUUAUCUACUCCAUUGACAAAGCAAAGAAGUUCAGGCUGAACAGAGAAGGUAAACAAAAAGCUGACAAGAACAGGGCUCGGGUGGAAGAGAAUUUCCUCAAGCUGACUCACGUGCAGAGACAGGAGGCUGCCCAGUCCCGCCGGGAGGAGAAGAAACGGGCGGAGAAGGAGCGAAUCAUGAACGAAGAGGAUCCCGAGAAGCAGCGGCGGCUGGAGGAAGCUGCUCUGCGGCGUGAGCAGAAGAAGCUUGAGAAGAAGCAGAUGAAGAUGAAGCAAAUCAAAGUGAAAGCCAUGUGACUGUGCUGUGAGAAGUGUCUCGGUGCCACCUGUGGAACUGUAAUUCACAGGGCCUGAAGCAGUAUUAGGUCACCUGUGGGCAUGAUUGGCUUAUGUGUAAAACACAGAGAUGGUUAGAACCAAGGGAAUGGAAUACAUGGACAUUUCCUACUUGUGUGUUUGGAUGCUGCAAACUUAACAACACAGUGUGGAAUCUGUGAUGUCAGCACAGUGUUCCUUCAGGAGUGAGUGCAUGGUGAGUUAGCAGUUCAGCCAGCUUUCCUUCAGUAUUUUUAACAGUUCAAGUUUGCCUCAACCCCUUCUCUCCUGAUCUCAGCAGCUGCUGCCCAGUUCACUUCAGCCAGGAGCCAGAUCUAGUGGAGUACCUGCAAUUCCUGAUCUCCCCAAGCCAGUGAAAACGUUUCAGAGGAUGUUCAUCCUCUUCGUCUGGUCAGUGAUCUCUUCAGGGUUUUGAAUGUAAAUGGGAAGAAUGAAGUGAAUGCCCCGUGCAAGCACUUCGCCGGGAGAGCUCUGCAUUUUAUAAAUGCUUCCUGUCCAGAAGGCAUUUUAUUGUUGCUUGUAACAGACUUUUAACAGUUUUGUGGGGAAACAAUGUCCUGCAUUUUCUUGUUCAAUACUUCAUGGAAACUUGGUUCUGAGGCAAUAAGAAUUAGCUGCUGUUGAAACAGCAAUUGCUUAAACUCCUUGUUCCAGCAUGGGAUACUUCACCCUGAUUGAAAUGCAAAUGUCUGUAACCUGAUACAUGCAAAUACAUUAAUUUUAUAAUGGUUGGUAAAAUUAUUUAAAACCAAAACUAAUGUAGAUUAUGUGAAAUUUUAGCACUAUUUAGCUUUAAAGAUUAAUAUGUUAUUGUUUCACAGAGUUCUUUGAAAGGAAAUACUAGUUUGUGCUCUUUUGAGUAAGCAGACAGCUUUCCUGAAGUCCCAUCCAGUUGUGGGCCACGGCAGCUAAUUUUGUAAUACAAACAUUGAAAUGAACAAUCUAAUGAAGAGUAAAAUAUAAUUGAAACA